UCACGGGAGCGCGGGAGGGAUCCGGGGAGCGCAGACGGGACUCGAGCGUUCGAGUUCGAGUGCCGAGUACCCUUUCCUUCAACACCUCCAGGGACAGUGACCUCCCCGGGCAGCCCGUCCCAAUGCCCAGUCACUCUUUCUGCGAAUAAAUUCUUCCUGAUGUCCAACCUGAACCUCCCCGGCGCAGCCUGACGCUGUGUGUGCUCUCGUCCUGUCACUGGUCGCCUGGGAGAAGAGCCCGACCCCCCACCUGGCUACAACCUCCUUCCAGGAGAGAAACUUCCCCCGGCCGCUCUCCCUGGCCAUUCCCAGGCGGAGGGACAGGUGGGCAGGCACGGGCCGGCCCGGGAGGGCGGUGCCGCCGUCACCCACCGCAGCUCCCCGGUCCCGGCUGGCCCCAGGCGCCUGCGACGGAAAGUCCUGUGCUUGGGUCUGGAAUUGCGCGGGGCUGAGAGGAAAAACGCGUUGACUGCCUUGUUUAAGCAGAGGAAACUGACAGUGCAUUCCAGUGAUGGAGGAACUAAUCAAUAGGAAUACAAUGACUUCUGAAAGAAUUACUACAACUGAUUUCUUACUUCCUUGUACCUUAUUUGUUCUCAACCUUGCUCCUUAAUAGAAUAUCCAGCACUAGAGGGUGCUGGAGGAACGACUGCAACAUUAACUCCGUGUUGGAAAUCCAUAAUCCCAGGAAAGUCGAGUUGUGGUGCCCCUUAGAGCUCUCAGCUCCAACCCAGCCUUGCCAUAAACAGCACACUCAUGUUCUCCUUCUGAAUCCACUGCAAAGGGAAGGCAGUCACCUGGAGGGACUCCGUUGUGUGACACACUCUGUUUCCUUAGGACUGGUCAACAGGUGAUGGCAUCUUGUGUAUGACACUAUGAAAGCAUCAAUGGGUCACCAAAAGGAAAAAAUACAACGAGAAUGAAACUGUACAUGCUCAUCUCAGUUACAAGAAUAUUUAAUAUUACAGAGUUCUUGGUUUUUAAAGAGUGGCUGUUAGCAAGCAAGGAUACAGUUUGAGAGGAGUGGGAAUAAAAUGAGCCUUGAUCUUAUUUACCUCAAGCAGCUGCUGAAUCUCCAGUGUGUCCUGUUCCAUAAGCAGCUGCAGAGUGGAAUUUUUUGAACAGUUGUAUUGAGUUUCAUAGCAAGGAAAACUGUUUUGUUGACAAGUGGUUGUUACCAUGAUCUCUACUGAAAGUAAGAUGUCGGAAGGAAGAGUGAGUCCAAAGGUUUAUGCAACUUUGUGGAAGAAACUGAAGCAUAAGCCAAAAUAAAAUGGAAUAAAUAUGAAAGUUCUGUGACAAACUCCUGUGUUUGAUAUGGACUGAAGUCAACAAAAAUAUUUUUCUCUGCAAUAUACUAUCUACACUUCAAUUGUAAGCUGGGCUAUUUGCUGCCUUGGAAGUCCAAAGGAAAUAAAUAUAUUUUAUGUUUACUUUGUCACACUUUAGAUUACACAGACAUUCAGUACAGAGCCUCCUUUGACCCAGGAUGUCCUUUGGUCAAAAACACAGUCACCUGAAACUAAAUUGGAAUAGUCUUGAAACAAAAUCAUGAAAGCUUUAAUUUUCUUUCUUAUUUGUGGAUUCAUAUGUAAUAAUAAUUUUGCUUCAUAACUUCAGACUGAAAAAUAGUUUUUAGUAUCUAUGAAGCUUCUCCUUCAAACACAUUUAAUAUUUUAUGGCAGAUUCCUAAGAGACAUGCUAAUGUUAGGUACAGAGGGAUGAGAAAGGACCUCCUCUUCUUGUGGACAGGACAAAAAAUUUGUCUUGAAUCAAUUAGUUUUUUGUGUCUCUGUGAUUUUGAAAGCUAGAGGACGCUGAGUUUUCCAGCAGCAAAGAAAGCAAUGCAUAAAAAAAUAAAGGGGAGAGUGGACACAGCAAAGAAAGAUGGUGUGAAGAUAGAACUGUUUACAGUCUUGUCUUUUGACAAUAUUGAAAAGGCAAGAGAUGAAUGGAACAUAUGGUUUGGGGUCUUUUGGGGGUUUGUUUUUGUGGUUUUUUCUUUUGGAGGUGGGGGAGUGUGUUUGGUUUUGUUUUGGUUUUUUGUCUUGGUUGGCUUUAGAAGUCCUGAUUUCUGUUCAAACUGUUAAAGGCAUGGAGUUGCUAAAGCAGAGAACUCCAGUGGGAUAGAUGCCAGUUAAACUUCUCUACAAGUGUCAAGAGUGUGUGACCCCUUGGCAGCUGCCCUGUGUCCUGGCAGCAGGCUGAGGGAGAAGCAGCAGAGGAACAAUUUGAUCAGUUUUUCCACUGAGCUAACUGUUGAGCACCUUAUGUUACACACUGGUGUUUAAUAAAUUAGCUCUCAGAACGUGAGUGUGGUGAAGUUAUAAUUUAUGUACAGCAAUAGGAUAUAUGGUUAAAUAUACAUCAUGUAGACACUGAUAGCUGCUCAAUAAAUAGUCACUGUAGGAGGUGCUAAAGGACAUCCCUGUGUUUGAGCUUCAGGAAAAGUACUUUUGUGGUAUAUAUAAGGGAAUCUGCAUCAGAUCAUACUGUUCCACGUUGUUCAUUGGUUCACUUUAUCUACUGACAUUGUUUCAAAAUCCCUUUCUCUGCUUUCUCUGUGCCAGCUCCUGGCUGUGGAUUCAGGGGUCAGCUCAGAUUGAAUGAGUUUACAUGAAGUCAGAUGCUAAGCCAUCCUCCCCACACUCUGGAAGGUGCUUUGGCAUAGAAAAGAGGAGUGGCUGGAGCCUAAUGAAUCAUAUCCAGCUGUUAAGUAAGAUUUAGGUUGAUCACUUAAUUGAAAACAAAAUAGUGACAUUUUUGUUUUGAAUGAACUGCAUAGUCUUCUAGUUCCCUUUCUUAAGUGUCUGUCAAUGUUUCCUAGCCAUGCUUUUUAGUUCCUUAGGAGACCUUACCAUUAGUAAAGAGAAUGUUGGAAAUAAUUUGCCCUUUGCUUAAAGGCUUAACUUUGCUUUUAAGUCAGUCCCCUGGCAAAUGGAGGAUCUGCUUUCCAGAAUGUGCCAUCUUCAUUUUUAAGGGAAAUAAAAUGCUAAUUACUACCUGAAAAUACUAAUUACUAACUGCUCGAGCAAGAGAUCUUCUUCCUUAAAACUUGGGUGAAUUCCUUUUAGUCCUCUCUACGCAAUAUUGUUUGCAAUUUUAGCAAAUUUGAGGGGAGUCUACAGACCUUGUGUAGUCAAGAGUCUUAAGACUAUGGAUUUAAUUUUAAGAGAAGUAAAAAUACCCUGAAAUCUUAGGCACCGGCCAAAAUCCACGGAGAAGCCUGAAUUUUCCAUGUUUCCAUUCAGACUUUGGGAGUACAGCUGAGACUCGAAAAGAUUAUUUCUCCAAUGCAAAACAUUUUGCUCGAAGUCUGAACUGAGACCUGAGUGCCAAAAUGUGUAUGGUGCUUAGGCAGGGGAAGGGCAAAGCCUGUGUCUCACCCUAAAUAAACUAGCUCCUCCUGGGUGUGCAUAGGAAAAAACUUCUGAUGUGAAAGAGGUACAGCAGCUGUUAACAAGAAUGGCAUUCAGUAGUUAGUAGUUCUCCAGCAGUGACUGUUGUGUUCCUGUUUGCUAUUUUGUGAAUGAUCAUGAACUACUUCUGGAUUGAAAAAAGGAACACCAUCUGCUGUAUUUAACUUGCAGAUAAAAUUUUGAUGUGAGCAAAGCA